rnacentral:rRNA from 1 species
ACACAUGCAAGUCGAACGGUGAAGCCAAGCUUGCUUGGUGGAUCAGUGGCGAACGGGUGAGUAACACGUGAGCAACCUGCCCUGGACUCUGGGAUAAGCGCUGGAAACGGCGUCUAAUACUGGAUAUGAGCCUCUUCCGCAUGGUGGGGGUUGGAAAGAUUUUUUGGUCUGGGAUGGGCUCGCGGCCUAUCAGCUUGUUGGUGAGGUAAUGGCUCACCAAGGCGUCGACGGGUAGCCGGCCUGAGAGGGUGACCGGCCACACUGGGACUGAGACACGGCCCAGACUCCUACGGGAGGCAGCAGUGGGGAAUAUUGCACAAUGGGCGAAAGCCUGAUGCAGCAACGCCGCGUGAGGGAUGACGGCCUUCGGGUUGUAAACCUCUUUUAGCAGGGAAGAAGCGAGAGUGACGGUACCUGCAGAAAAAGCGCCGGCUAACUACGUGCCAGCAGCCGCGGUAAUACGUANGGGCGCAAGCGUUAUCCGGGAAUUAUUGGGC